CCCGCAUUUCAGCGGUCUUUCGUCAGACACGAACUACACGUCCAUGGUCCACAUCUCGACUAGGUUGGCGGAGUUUGACUGAGACGGAACGGGAAUAUGGAACCAUGAAGACUUUAACAGGAAGUCACAACAGUCUAUAAGAACAUGAGGAGCAUCAGCCUUUGUAUGCACAAUAGCAACUACUUAGGACUACAAAAGCGAGACACCUGGCCAUACAGGUAAUAUUACAAAAUAAUGUACACAUAAUUUGUAAUAUCCAUCCAUCCAUAUUCUCUGAGGGUCGCGGGGAGUGCUGUGCCAAUCUCAGCUGACAUAGGGCGAUGGGCGGGGUACACCCUGGGCAGUUCACCAGUCCAUCACAGGGCCAUAUGAUAUAACAUAGGACCUUCUGACUGCUAAUUUGGACUCCACGGCUGACACACCCUGAGAAUGUCAGCAAAUGUCCAGUCUCUCCACAAGAAAAUGAAAGCACCAGUGUUAUUUUUAUUUUGAGUCAGUUUUCUGACAGUGAUUUCAAGUGUUGCUCAGUUUUAUGUAAGUCCUAUCUGUCCUGAACAUCCUGAGAAUGUCCGCAAAGGUAGUGAUUGCAGCUGUUAAUGGACAGAGUUGAUGUAUGUAUUCUUUACUGUUCUGAAAGUUGAUUAGAAGAAAGGAAAAGAAAAGCAUGUUUUUUUCCCCUGCUCAGUCCAGCUAUCUGAUUGGUUGAAACUUUGAGGAAUUUUUUUCCUCAAUGAAGGAAGUGAAAGCUUCAAUCUUUUUAAGUUUGUAAUAGAGCCCAAUUGAUGGAAUUACAGAAUUAGAAGAGGAAAGGUCAACUGUAACACUGUAUUAGUUUCCUUACUUUGGAGCUUAAUAAUGGUUUCUGAACUCCCUUGAUAUAUGUACAUUACAUUACAUUACAUGUCAUUUAGCAGACGCUUUUAUCCAAAGCGACUUACAAUGGAAUCAAGUACAAUUAGCCAGGGGUGGAAUCGAACUUUCCUAUAUGUUGUAUGUACUCCAGAGAGUGUGUAUAUGUGUAUAUAUAUACAUACAUGUGUAUAUAUGUGUGUAUAUAUAUAUAUAUAUAUGUAUAUAUAUAUAUAUAUGCACUGUUUUAAAAUGUGCGCUAGCAAGAAGUUCUAUGGCCAUGUGUUUGUGCUUAUGUUAUGUAGACAUUUUAAAUAUAUCUAUGCCAAUUUCAAAUGUGAAAUAAAAGUGUCUUUCA